AUGGCCCACAUAUCAGAUAUUAAACUGAUAAGAACAGAUACUACACUUGAUCUUAGCCAAAAGGCCGAGAAAGGUAUGCUUUCAAACGAUGUCUUGUGUCUCAUUAUAUAGCUAUCUCGACCCCUCCAUUGUGUUGCCCGGGCGAGGUGGUACUAA
rnacentral:rRNA from 1 species